ACACUGAAAUGCUUGGUGGGAAAUCAAAGUGAAAUUCUUUGGCUGUACCUGCAAUCGUGAAAGUCGGAGCGCCACCCAGUGC
ncrna:unclassified sequences AdoCbl variant RNA